AUUGAACGCUGGCGGCAUGCCUUACACAUGCAAGUCGAACGCGAAAGGGGGCAACCCCGAGUAGAGUGGCGAACGGGUGAGUAAUACAUCGGAACACGUCCUGUAGCGGGGGACAACCCCGAGAAAUCGGGGCUAAUACCGCAUACGAUCCAAGGAUGAAAGUGGGGGACCGCAAGGCCUCACACUAUAGGAGUGGCCGAUGCCGGAUUAGCUAGUUGGUGGGGUAAAAGCCCACCAAGGCGACGAUCCGUAGCUGGUUUGAGAGAACGA
rnacentral:rRNA from 1 species